UACGGAGGGUGCAAACGUUGCUCGGAAUCACUGGGCUUAAAGGGCGCGUAGGCGGGCUGCCAAGUCCGGGGUGAAAUCGUUCGGCCCAACCGGACAAGUGCCUUGGAUACUGGCGGUCUUGAGCGAGGUAGGGGCAGCUGGAACUUCCGGUGGAGCGGUGAAAUGCGUUGAUAUCGGAAGGAACGCCGGUGGCGAAAGCGAGCUGCUGGACCUUUUCUGACGCUGAGGCGCGAAAGCCAGGGGAGCAAACGGG
rnacentral:rRNA from 1 species